GGGAAUCAUAGAAUUGAGUGGAAAUUAUUUUGAGAGCAUGCCUGAGAGCAUUAAACAACUUCCUAAGCUGAUAGUAUGAGUUUUUAGGGCAUCUUUCGAUUUCAUUGUAAGGUGACUUGUGUCCCACAUUAAAAGUAUGAGAUUUCGUACGAUGAGACAUGUACCCCACAUUAAAAGUAGGAGAUUUCAAUAUGAGAAAUAUAUGGACUUAAAUUCUCCAACCUCAGCAAACAACUACUUUUUGGAGUGUGU
rnacentral:misc_RNA from 1 species